rnacentral:rRNA from 1 species
UGGGGAAUUUUGGACAAUGGGGGGCAACCCUGAUCCAGCCAUGCCGCGUGAGUGAAGAAGGCCUUCGGGUUGUAAAGCUCUUUCGGCCGGGAAGAAAUCGCUCAAGCUAAUACCUUGGGUGGAUGACGGUACCGGAAGAAGAAGCACCGGCUAACUACGUGCCAGCAGCCGCGGUAAUACGUAGGGUGCGAGCGUUAAUCGGAAUUACUGGGCGUAAAGGGUGCGCAGGCGGUUUUGUAAGUCAGAUGUGAAAUCCCCGGGCUUAACCUGGGAAUGGCGUUUGAAACUGCAAGGCUAGAGUGUAGCGAGAGGGGAGUGGAAUUCCGCGUGUAGCAGUGAAAUGCGUAGAUAUGCGGAGGAACACCGAUGGCGAAGGCAGCUCCCUGGGCUAACACGUGACGC